GUGGAGGCGGAGGCGGAGGCGGAGGUGGAGGCGGAGGUGGAGGAAACACGGGCAAAAACAACUGUCAUUGCUGUGCUCCUAGAGAUGAUCACCACGGCCCUACUAUAGUGAGAGUGAAUGAAGGGAAUGAAGACGCAGAAGGAGAAGAAGAAGAAGCAGCACCUCAAGAAGGAGAAGAAGAAGAAGAAGAAGAAGAAGAAGGGGAACAGGAGUAUGUAGAAGAGGGAGAAGGAGAGGAAGAAGAAGAGGAGGAGUAGAACCUGAAACACACACCUGACUGCUAAUUAUAGAGACUAUAACAAGUCACAUGUUUUAUAACACAGGAAUACCCAGGAUACUAGCACUUACUAGCACGCUAACAUCAAUGGCCUCUACCAUGACUGUCUCACCUAACCACUACCAUGAUGUACUUACCAUGACGUUACACUAAGCCUACUCCACCUGCCGUAAUACAUCAGUCAUGAGAAAAACAUCAGAUAAUUAAUACUGUCGCCAUGACACACUUGCCACAGAUGGCAACUUCUCACUUGUGUAACAAAUGUGAACUGCUGUUUUGUGUCUGGUUCGACACCCAUGGCAUUCUUGACAUAUUCAUGACAUUCUUGACAUAUUCAUGACAUUCUUGACAUAUUCAUGACAUUCUUGACAUAUCCAUGACAUUCUUGACAUAUUCAUGACAUUCUUGACAUAUUCAUGACAUUCUUGACAUAUUCAUGACACUCUUGACAUAUUCAUGACAUUCUUGACAUGGAUAUAAUAGUCUUGACAUAUUUUUUAUAUUGUUGUCAUAUUUUUGAUAUUGUAGACAUAUUCAUAACAUUCUUGACACAUUUAUGACAUUCUUGACAUAUUCAUGACAAUGAUGGCUAGCAGAAGCUCAACCUACUUGUGUAGAAUUUCUCUUGAUUCGGCUCUAAAGUCGUUCUUUUCACUGGCUUGUGAGAUCAUGCUUUUAACAUCUAUCAACAACAACAUAUUUCUCCAUGUGUUUUGCUAAUUGUUUUCUACACAAACACUGGUGCUUGGAAUUGCCGCUCGCGAAAAUAAAAUUAUUGCAACAAAAUA